UCUGGGGCUCAGCUUCCAGUCCAUCACCAGA
rnacentral:piRNA from 1 species